rnacentral:rRNA from 1 species
GCGAACCACUUCGGUGGUGAGCGGCGAACGGGUGAGUAACACGUAGGUGAUCUGCCCAUCAGACGGGGACAACGAUUGGAAACGAUCGCUAAUACCGGAUAGGACGAAAGUUUAAAGGUGCUUCUGGCACCGCUGAUGGAUGAGCCUGCGGCGCAUUAGCUAGUUGGUAGGGUAAAGGCCUACCAAGGCGACGAUGCGUAGCCGACCUGAGAGGGUGAACGGCCACACUGGGACUGAGACACGGCCCAGACUCCUACGGGAGGCAGCAGUAGGGAAUCUUCGGCAAUGGGCGAAAGCCUGACCGAGCAACGCCGCGUGAAUGAUGAAGGCCUUCGGGUUGUAAAAUUCUGUUAUAAGGGAAGAACGACUUUAGUAGGAAAUGGCUAGAGUGUGACGGUACCUUAUGAGAAAGCCACGGCUAACUACGUGCCAGCAGCCGCGGUAAUACGUAGGUGGCGAGCGUUAUCCGGAAUUAUUGGGCGUAAUGAGCGCGCAGGUGGUUGAUUAAGUCUGAUGUGAAAGCCCACGGCUUAACCGUGGAGGGUCAUUGGAAACUGGUCGACUUGAGUGCAGAAGAGGGAAGUGGAAUUCCAUGUGUAGCGGUGAAAUGCGUAGAGAUAUGGAGGAACACCAGUGGCGAAGGCGGCUUCCUGGUCUGUAACUGACACUGAGGCGCGAAAGCGUGGGGAGCAAACAGGAUUAGAUACCCUGGUAGUCCACGCCGUAAACGAUGAGUGCUAAGUGUUGGGGGUCGAACCUCAGUGCUGAAGUUAACGCAUUAAGCACUCCGCCUGGGGAGUA